AACGUAGGUACCGAGCGUUAUCCGGAUUUACUGGGCGUAAAGCGUGUUCAGGCGGUCAGGCAAGUCGGGCAUGAAAUCUCUCGGCUCAACCGGGAGAGGUUGUCCGAUACUGGUUGACUUGAGGGCAGUAGAGGGUGGUGGAAUUCCGGGUGUAGUGGUGAAAUGCGUAGAUAUCCGGAGGAACACCAGUGGCGAAAGCGGCCACCUGGACUGUACCUGACGCUCAAACACGAAAGCUAGGGGAGCGAACGGG
rnacentral:rRNA from 1 species